rnacentral:rRNA from 1 species
UACAUGUGGGGCAAGCGUUGUUCGGAAUUACUGGGCAUAAAGGGUGCGUAGGUGGCUUGUUAAGUCAGGGGUGAAAGCUUUCGGCCCAACCGGAAAAUGGCCUUUGAUACUGGCGAGCUCGAGUGCGUGAGGGGUAACCGGAACGAGCAGUGUAGCGGUGAAAUGCGUAGAUAUUGCUCUGAAGGCCAACGGCGAAGGCAGGUUACUGGUGCGCAACUGACACUGAGGCACGAAAGCGUGGGGAGCAAACAGG